GCCGAAGUGGCGAAACUGGCAGACGCACUAGAUUCAGGUUCUAGCGCCCGUAAGGGUGUGCGGGUUCAAAUCCCGCCUUCGGCACCA
rnacentral:tRNA from 2 species